CUUAAUCUUUCUGCACCAAUUAUUUUUAUUUGUCCAUUAAAAGAAGUGUCUGAAUGAAUUGAUUUUUAAAAGGAUAAAUUUAUAAUUUUGCAUCUAGAAAGUUUAAAAGAGCGAAUUUAAAAAAAGAUACACGAAUUUUACUAGAAAUAUUUAUGAUAUCUUAUUAAAGUUUGAUUUAGGCCGCUGAUUGUAUUGAGCCGCCCCUGCCCGGUACCCAAAUUCCACUUCCUUUGCGAGAAAACUUAUUGGCUCCACACGAAAGCUGGAGCUGCAUGGACAACGCUAUCUUAUCUUCUAGUCCUUCUCUUACAUCAGAUUAUGUACUAUUGGUUUCGUACUUUGGAGGACAUGGAAAUAUUAAUACUUUGGCUUUUGGCGACGUCAAUUUUAUUGUGUGUCAUGGUCGAGUAAAAUUGAGUUUUAGAUAUUCCGGGGUCGGGGCCUCAGCCAAGAGUAGUAAAGCCCCGCUUGCUUAUGCAAUUGGAGGAUCAUAUAUGGCAUGACGACCGCUCAAUGCAAUUCUAUCUGGUUGACAUAUCGGGUUCACUAUUACUUGUAACCUGAUUUGCCCGUUAUUAUGGUCCAAAGAGCAAGGAAUGGUCUUCUCAUCAUUCUCACAAGAACACUGAAUUUAAAUUGUUUGAGUUAGAUAUAAUCAAUGGUGAAGUGAAGAAGGAGAUCAAUACCUUGGGAUAGUCGGCCAUAUUUUUGGGCCGUAAUGGACCAAUUUCCAUCGACUCCUCCAAAUUUAAAGGAGUCGAGCAUAAUCAGAUAUUUUUACCGAUGAUUGGUAUGAUCAUUUUGGAAUGGAAUGCGGUAAAAGAGAUACGGGGACUUACAAUAUUGAAACUGAAGAAAUUGAAGAUUGUUAUCCUGAAUUGUCCCUAAUUCCUGCUUACCCGCUAACUUGGAUUACACCCUCAUUCCAUGAUAAUCCUGCAAACAAUCCAGAAGCUGCAAUUGAAAAUGGAGACUCAGCUAGUUUAAGUGGAAUUCUUAACUUCAAAGGGUUGCAGAAGUUUUAACUGCUGUAGAAGUAGAAUCUCUUCGGUCAGAAGUGCUGCUUUGGAAGAAAGAGAAGAUCAUUUAAAAGCUCAAUAUGUUUUGAUGUUUCCACUGUGCUAUGUACUUAUCAAAUAAUUUGCUAUGCUUCAGUUGUUUUUCUAAUUUUGACUUGAC